rnacentral:rRNA from 1 species
GUGGGGAAUCUUCCGCAAUGGACGAAAGUCUGACGGAGCAACGCCGCGUGAGUGAAGAAGGUUUUCGGAUCGUAAAGCUCUUUCGUUAGGGACGAACGUGCUCUUUGUGAAUAAUGAGGAGUAAUGACGGUACCUAAAUAAGAAGCCACGGCUAACUACGUGCCAGCAGCCGCGGUAAUACGUAGGUGGCAAGCGUUGUCCGGAACUAUUGGGCGUAAAGCGCGCGCAGGCGGGAUAUCAAGUCUGUCUUAAAAGUGCGAGGCUCAACCUCGUGAGGGGACAGAAACUGGUAUUCUUGAGUGUCGGAGAGGAAAGUGGAAUUCCAAGUGUAGCGGUGAAAUGCGUAGAGAUUUGGAAGAACACCAGUGGCGAAGGCGACUUUCUGGACGAUGUCUGACGCUGAGGCGCGAAAGCUAGGGGAGCGAACGGGAUUAGAAACCCGUGUAGUCC